CUCAUCAACACGUCAGGUCAAGGUGCAGCUCACGGAACGGAAAGCAAUGGGCUACAAUUUCUAACUUAGAACAUACGAAAGACUAUCUCAAAUCCUAGUCAUGAAGGCGGAUUUAGUAGUAAAAGGAAAAUAGAGUGUUCCUUUUAACCCGGCUCUGGGACGCGUACACACCGCCCGUCACCCUCUUCGAUAUGACCU
rnacentral:rRNA from 1 species